rnacentral:tRNA from 1 species
GGAGAGGUGUCCGAGUGGCCGAAGGAGCAUGUCUGGAAAACAUGCAGGCGGGCAUAAACCUGCCUCGUGGGUUCGAAUCCCACCCUCUCCGCCA